UACGUAGGUCCCGAGCGUUGUCCGGAUUUGUUGGGCGUAAAGCGAGCGCAGGUAGUUUAUUAAGUCUGGUGUAAAAGGCAGUGGCUCAACCAUUGUAUGCAUUGGAAACUGGUAGACUUGAGUGCAGGAGAGGAGGGUGGAAUUCCAUGUGUAGCGGUGAAAUGCGUAGAUAUAUGGAGGAACACCGGUGGCGAAAGCGGCUCUCUGGCCUGUAACUGACACUGAGGCUCGAAAGCGUGGGGAGCAAACAGG
rnacentral:rRNA from 1 species